UGGAGGACUAGUGGUUAGGCCACAGUGUUCUCACCGCUGUGGCACAGGUUCGAUUCCUGAUUCCCA